UACGUAGGGUGCAAGCGUUUGUCCGGAAUUAUUGGGCGUAAAGAGCUCGUAGGCGGUCUGUCGCGUCUGCUGUGAAAACUCAGGGCUUAACCCUGAGCUUGCAGUGGGUACGGGCAGACUAGAGUGCGGUAGGGGGAGACUGGAAUUCCUGGUGUAGCGGUGAAAUGCGCAGAUAUCAGGAGGAACACCGGUGGCGAAGGCGGGGUCUCUGGGCCGUAACUGACGC
rnacentral:rRNA from 1 species